CCGAACACCUGGAGCUAGUUCAGAAUCUGACACUACUUCGGUUAAUAAUAGAUCAUGCAGUGGAACCAUGCAAAGAUCUGAUGAUGUCACAGUGGAUAGCAGUGUUUCUGGAAAAAAAUACCAUCAGAUUUCCCCUUAAUAACAGAGAUGCCGAGGGAAACAGAACUGAUAGCUCAAGGACACUGAUACCUUUCAAACGGAAGAUGGAAAACAAAAAACAAAAGAUAAUAAGCAGCCGGAAACCUUUCAAAAGGAGCUGGUUAUGACAUCUGAUCAAGCUUCCACACAGAACCAACGCCUUCCAAAGGGAUAUGCAUAUGUACCCCGUGAUUCUCUUUCUAAAGAGAAACCAUGGAAACGAAAUACACCGACCCAUGAACCACAAGAUCCUGGUGGAUAGGAAUAGCUGAAAUCCACAAAAAAAUCGCAUGCCUAGUGUUGUCAACUGAAAAGCACAAGUACCAAGCGGUGCUGGCCUGUGCUUUUGCUGCAAGGAUUACCAAACUAAUUGGAAUCAAGCUGUAGAAUGAUGCAAACCAAACUAGUUGUGAAUGAGUGUUUGGUAUGAG